rnacentral:rRNA from 1 species
GACGAACGCUGGCGGCGUGCUUAACACAUGCAAGUCGAACGCUGAACCCGCUUCGGUGGGGGAUGAGUGGCGAACGGGUGAGUAACACGUGGGCAACCUGCCCCCGGCUCUGGGAUAACUCCAAGAAAUUGGGGCUAAUACCGGAUGUGACCGCUGGCCGCAUGGUCUGGUGGUGGAAAGGGUUUCCGGCUGGGGAUGGGCCCGCGGCCUAUCAGCUUGUUGGUGGGGUAGUGGCCUACCAAGGCGACGACGGGUAGCCGGCCUGAGAGGGUGACCGGCCACACUGGGACUGAGACACGGCCCAGACUCCUACGGGAGGCAGCAGUGGGGAAUAUUGCGCAAUGGGCGGAAGCCUGACGCAGCGACGCCGCGUGGGGGAUGACGGCCUUCGGGUUGUAAACCUCUUUCAGCAGGGACGAAGCGCAAGUGACGGUACCUGCAGAAGAAGCACCGGCCAACUGCGUG